rnacentral:lncRNA from 1 species
CUCCUCUAUGCUAGGCACACACUGAACGUGCAGUACGUAAUAGUGACGGUGUGGACGUGAGCCCUGUCCUCAAGAUGCUUAGAGUAUGAUGUGGGUGUCAAAAAUAGUGGGAGAGAUAAGGGACAUUCGAUAAGAUAUCCAGCCAGUACAAGGACUGAGAGACUGUCAGAGACCAAAGGAGAUUAAGGAGACGUGAUGACUAAAUGCAAUAUGGUACCCUGGAUUGGAUCCUGGAACAGAAGGAGGACAUUCAUGGAAAAACUGGUGAAAUUCACGUCUGGAAUUUAGUUAACAGUAACGGACCAAUGUCAGUUUCUUCGUUUUGACCAAUGUACCCCAGAGGGUGUUUUAAGUUGCAGGAACUAAUGGAGAAGUAAACUGUUAACCGGAGAAACGCUGUGGAGUAUAAGGAAUCUUCACAACUCUCCUGUUGGAAGCAACAAAACGUGACCCUGGUACCUGUCCGUUGUGAGACCCGGAUGUUCAGCUUUCCUUCUAUUAGAUGAGAUCCCGUAGGUUCACGUGAGACGAGACAUCACAGAUUCGGAGUGCCAGGAAGAGAAUGGAAUGUGUCACCUGUUUGUCCCGCAACGAGAGAGGGCAAAGCACCUUCCAUAAUUAUCCUAUAGAGACUGAAGAUAAAGUUGACCUGUGUAAUCAAGAGGAUAUUGCAGAAAUGACAGCAUACACGAGGCGAGGUCAUAGAAAACAUGGCAACUUCCUUCUGGAGGAAGCCAACUACCACUCCGUGAGGACACACAAGCAGCCCAAUGGAGAGGUCCAGGGGGUGAGGUACUGCAACCUCUGACCAACAGCUGGCACUGACUUGCCAGUGAUGAAUGAGCGAUGUUGGAAACAGAUCCUCCAGCCCCAGUCACACCUUCAGGUGACAGCAGCCCCGGCCAGUGUCUUGAACGCAACCUCAUGAGAGAUUCUAAGUUGUUCUCACAUUCCUGACUCACAAAAACUGUGUCACGUAAUAAAUGCCUAUUGUUGUUUUAAUCUGCU